rnacentral:rRNA from 1 species
UACGGAGGGUGCAAGCGUUAUCCGGAUUCACUGGGUUUAAAGGGUGCGUAGGUGGGUUGGUAAGUCAGUGGUGAAAUCUCCGGGCUUAACUCGGAAACUGCCGUUGAUACUAUCAAUCUUGAAUCUCGUGGAGGUAAGCGGAAUAUGUCAUGUAGCGGUGAAAUGCUUAGAUAUGACAUAGAACACCGAUAGCGAAGGCAGCUUGCUACACGAGUAUUGACACUGAGGCACGAAAAGCGUGGGGGAUCAAAACAGG